AACGAACGCUGGCGGCAUGCCUAACACAUGCAAGUCGAACGAGACCUUCGGGUCUAGUGGCGCACGGGUGCGUAACGCGUGGGAACCUGCCCUUAGGUUCGGAAUAACUCCCCGAAAGGGGUGCUAAUACCGGAUAAUGUCUUCGGACCAAAGAUUUAUCGCCUUUGGAUGGGCCCGCGUUGGAUUAGCUAGUUGGUAGGGUAAAAGCCUACCAAGGCGACGAUCCAUAGCUGGUCUGAGAGGAUGAUCAGCCACACUGGGACUGAGACACGGCCCAGACUCCUACGGGAGGCAGCAGUGGGGAAUAUUGGACAAUGGGCGAAAGCCUGAUCCAGCAAUGCCGCGUGAGUGAUGAAGUCCUUAGGGUUGUAAAGCUCUUUUACCCGGGAUGAUAAUGACAGUACCGGGAGAAUAAGCUCCGGCUAACUCCGU
rnacentral:rRNA from 1 species